UACCAAAUUUCGUACAAUUCGCUCACAAUUAAAGGAAAUAAAUGUCUCAGAGAAAGAUUUGGAAGGCAAAUUAGGCUUAAAUACAAAAUACUCAAAUAACAGACUUGGCUCACCAGAUGAGCCACUUAACAAUUACAUGGAUGCACAGUACUAUGGACCAAUUACAAUUGGAACUCCACCGCAAAACUUCAACAUUCUUUUUGAUACAGGUUCGUCCAAUCUCUGGGUCCCUUCUAAGAAAUGCAAAUUGACU